rnacentral:rRNA from 1 species
GUCCACGCCCUAAACGAUGUCAACUGGUUGUCGGGGAAGUUAUUCCUUGGUAACGAAGCUAACGCGUGAAGUUGACCGCCUGGGGAGUACGGCCGCAAGGUUAAAACUCAAAGGAAUUGACGGGGACCCGCACAAGCGGUGGAUUAUGUGGAUUAAUUCGAUGCAACGCGAAAAACCUUACCUACCCUUGACUUGUACGGAACCCCGCAGAGAUGCGGGGGUGCCCGAAAGGGAGCCGUAACACAGGUGCUGCAUGGCUGUCGU